AGCAGCCGCGGUAAUUCCAGCUCCAAUAGCGUAUAUUAAAGUUGUUGCAGUUAAAAAGUUCGUAGUUGAAUUUCGGGAUUAGUAGUCUGGUCGUGCCACUGGUAUGUACUGGUCUUACUGAUUUCUCCUUCUUGAAGAACCGUAAUGUCAUUAAUUUGUUGUUGCGGGGAAUCUGGACUGUUACUUUGAAAAAUUAGAGUGUUUAAAGCAGGCUAACGCUUGAAUACAUUAGCAUGGAGUAAUGAAAUAGGACGUUCGAUCCUAUUUUGUUGGUUUCUAGGAUUGACGUAAUGAUUAAUAGGGAUAGUUGGGGGCAUUAGUAUUCAAUUGUCAGAGGUGAAAUUCUUGGAUUUAUUGAAGACUAACUACUGCGAAAGCAUUUGCCAAGGAUGUUUUCAUUAAUCAAGAACGAAAGUUAGGGGAUCGAAGACGAUCAGAUACCGUCGUAGUCUUAACCAUAAACUAUGCCGACUAGGGAUCGGAUGAUGUUAAUUUUAUAAUGACUCAUUCGGCGCCUUAA
rnacentral:rRNA from 1 species